GGUCCUGACCAUCUGGAUCGUAGUUUUCCCGGGAAUAACUUUAGUCUAGAGUUAAAUAAAAGGACUGCGUCGCCUUGCUUGAAGAUUUUCCUUGAUAUACGCUUGUCAUGCCAUUGUUUUGUUCUUUCUUUAUAGAUUCUGGCAUUUUCAUAGGCGUCUCUUCUGAGUUCUUCUAAUUCGUUUAUGUCAAGGAUUCUCUUUUCACCGGCGGCUUUAUAGUUUAGAUUCAGAUUUCUAAUAGCCCAAUAGGC
rnacentral:lncRNA from 1 species